UAAAGAGGAACUCAGUCUAAAACAAGUGCAUACUAAGAUAACGACUGAGUGGCCAACAUCGUGUUGG
rfam:Bacillus sp. KCTC 13219 scaffold4.1, whole genome shotgun sequence.